rnacentral:rRNA from 1 species
UAAGGAAUAUUGGUCAAUGGACGCAAGUCUGAACCAGCCAUGCCGCGUGAAGGAUGAAGGUCCUCUGGAUUGUAAACCUCUUUUAUCUGGGACGAAAACGGGAUUUUUAUCUCAAUUGACGGUACCAGAGGAAUAAGCACCGGCUAACUCCGUGCCAGCAGCCGCGGUAAUACGGAGGGUGCGAGCGUUAUCCGGCUUUACUGGGUUUAAAGGGUGCGUAGGUGGGCUUAUAAGUCAGUGGUGAAAUCUCCGAGCUUAACUUGGAAACUGCCGUUGAUACUAUAGGUCUUGAAUUAUCUGGAGGUAAGCGGAAUAUGUCAUGUAGCGGUGAAAUGCUUAGAUAUGACAUAGAACACCAAUUGCGAAGGCAGCUUACUACAUAUAAAUUGACGCUGAGGCACGAAAGCGUGGGGAUCAAACA